UACGGGGGGGGCAAGCGUUGUUCGGAAUUACUGGGCGUAAAGGGCGCGUAGGCGGCCUGCUAAGUCGGACGUGAAAUCCCUCGGCUCAACCGGGGAACUGCGUCCGAUACUGGCGAGGCUUGAAUCCGGGAGAGGGAUGUGGAAUUCCAGGUGUAGCGGUGAAAUACGUAGAUAUCUGGAGGAACACCAGUGGCGAAGGCGGCAUCCUGGACCGGCAUUGACGCUGAGGCGCGAAAGCUAGGGUAGCAAACGGG
rnacentral:rRNA from 1 species